CAGUCGCCGCGGGAAUACGAAGGGUGCAAGCGUUAAUCGGAAUUACUGGGCGUAAAGCGUGCGUAGGCGGAGAGUUAAGUCUGCUGUGAAAUCCCCGGGCUCAACCUGGGAAUGGCAGUGGAUACUGGCUCGCUAGAGUGUGUCAGAGGAUGGUGGAAUUCCCGGUGUAGCGGUGAAAUGCGUAGAGAUCGGGAGGAACAUCAGUGGCGAAGGCGGCCAUCUGGGACAACACUGACGCUGAGGCACGAAAGCGUGGGGAGCAAACAGGAUUAGAUACCCGCGUAGUCCCUGUCUCUUAUAC
rnacentral:rRNA from 1 species